ACAUGGAUAUUGUCCCUGUUCUGACUCUGUGAUAAUUAGGGAAUGCUAAACAGUUGCUACAGUAAGACCAUGUACAUAUCUCAGACCUACUUCUCUUCCUAGGCUGGGUUUUCUCAGUGCUGGUGACAGGU
ensembl:snoRNA Gm23960 small nucleolar RNA SNORA72